rnacentral:rRNA from 1 species
ACGGGAGGCAGCAGUGGGGAAUAUUGCACAAUGGGGGAAACCCUGAUGCAGCAACGCCGCGUGAGUGAUGACGGUCUUCGGAUUGUAAAGCUCUGUCUUUAGGGACGAUAAUGACGGUACCUAAGGAGGAAGCCACGGCUAACUUCGUGCCAGCAGCCGCGGUAAUACGAGGGGUGCAAGCGUUGUUCGGAAUCACUGGGCGUAAAGGGAGCGCAGGCGGAGAUGCAAGCGGACUGUACAAUACCGGGGCCCAACCCCGGACCUGCAGUCCGGACUGCACCUCUUGGAUAGUUCAGGGGCAAGCGGAAUUCCUGGUGUAGCGGUGGAAUGCGUAGAGAUCAGGAAGAACACCGAUGGCGAAGGCAGCUUGCUGGGGACUAAUCGACGCUCAUGCUCGAAAGUGCGGGUAGCAAACAGGAUUAGAUACCCUGGUA